ensembl:lncRNA
GUCUCUGUGAAGGGUGUUCUGAAGGUUAUAGCUGAUGAGUGAUGUUCUUACAAUAGGUCUGUUCUUUCCUGAGUACCAGUAAAAUAGAUCAGGUGCUCGGUGUGGCUGUUGCUGACUUUCCAGCACAAUAUUCAAUGAAACAACAUUAAAAUAGAGACUGUGUAAUGCUGCAGUACAGUACAGACAAUGCCCCAAAAUCCACUUCACUUUUGUGAGACAAAGAUCUCAUUUCUAUCCCCGUCCCUUGAAUAAAGAGAGAAAACUCACUCACUCCUCAGCUCCGUAAGAACCCACCCAUGGCUCUACUUCCCAAGCCCUCUCUUACUACUUUAUAUUCCUUCAGCUUUAACUGUUGCCUCAUCAAAGUCUCCAGCAGUACCCCAGGGCUACAGCUUCCAUUGUCAUUCCUUUUUUUUUUUUUUAAACAUCUCUCUGGUUUAAGGAUUUUGUUUCUAGAAAACAAUUUAAAAAAAAAUCUUCCAAGCCAUGGGAAAAGCAAACAAUCCUAGAAUCACCAAAGUUGGAAAAGACCUCCUAGACCAUCUAGUCCAACCAUCCAUCUAUCACCAAUACUGCCCUGUCCCUCAGCACCACACCUACACCUUGGUUCUUGGACACCUCCAGGGUCAGUGACUCCAUCACCUCCCUGGGCAGCACAUUCCAGCACCUAACCAUUUUUUCAGAGACUAAAUUGUUCCUAAUAUCCUACAUGAAACACCCCUGGUGUAACUUGAUGCCAUCCCCUCUCAUCUGAAAUCACAUAAGAGCAUGUUAAUAAUACUAGUGGUUUUUUUUGUUUGAUAGCAAUUUUGUGGCAGCAUUUUGAGAAAGGAUUUAUACAAGACAAGGGAGUAAUGGCUGAACAAGCUUGGUAAUUUUGUACACAGCAUUUUCUACAGGAGCAUACACCAAAGAAGAAGGAAAAGACAACAUAAAAAGGAAGGAAAGAAAAAUCUCACGUUGUUUUCUUCCCACUAUGGACAUUUAAUGCAUUGAUGGAGUAUUUGCACAAGUCUUGUUCACAGCUUAUUUGCAGUAGCAGCGCAUUGCAAGAACACAGGGGCAGCUCUCAACGAAUUAGAAGCUUGCAAGGUGCUGUACCUCAAA